rnacentral:rRNA from 1 species
GCACAAGCGGUGGAUGAUGUGGAUUAAUUCGAUGCAACGCGAAAACUUACCUACCCUUGACAUGUCUGGAACCUUGCUGAGAGGCGAGGGUGCCUUCGGGAGCCAGAACACAGGUGCUGCAUGGCUGUCGUCAGCUCGUGUCGUGAGAUGUUGGGUUAAGUCCCGCAACGAGCGCAACCCUUGUCACUAGUUGCCACCAUUUAGUUGGGCACUCUAGUGAGACUGCCGGUGACAACCGGAGGAAGGUGGGGAUGACGUCAAGUCCUCAUGGCCCUUAUGGGUAGGGCUUCACACGUCAUACAAUGGUCGGUACAGAGGGUUGCCAAGCCGCGAGGUGGAGCCAAUCCCUUAAAGCCGAUCGUAGUCCGGAUCGUAGUCUGCAACUCGACUACGUGAAGUCGGAAUCGCUAGUAAUCGCGGAUCAGCAUGUCGCGGUGAAUACGUUCCCGAGUCUU